ACCCGGGUGGCUGAGUCGGUUAGGCAUCUGACUUUGGCUCAGGUCAUAAUCUCACAGUUUGUGGGUUCAAGCCCCAUUCAGGCUC
rnacentral:tRNA from 1 species